GUUAGGACCAUUUGCUUUCUUUAAACCAGCAGUAGAGUGUGUUGAGUAACUUACAUAAUCAAAAGAACUGUUUUCACAUAGCCUCCCUGCCAAGUUGGACACCCCACAACACUUGACCUGUUCCAAGGAAGGAAGCUGAGAUUACCAACACGAAGAAGAAGAAAAGGAGAAGCUGGAUAUUUGAACCGAGAGGGCGAUUUUGCCAGGCCUGAACCAGCAGAAAGUCACUGGUGGCCACAUGCACCGGGGGCAUCAAGAGACCAAGGAAGAGGAGCACGUAGAAAAGCACCUCCUGAGGAGACCGGGCUCAGCCAUCGCGAGGCCCUACGUUCUGUGUCGUAGACCUGGCCCCUCAGCGUCGGCCUGUGGCCCAGCUGUACCAGCAUCACCUGGGAGCCCGUGAGAAAUGCAGACUGAGCCCUGCGGCAGGCCUGCUGAACCAGCCUUAGCUGAAAAAGCCCCCAGGAAAAGUUUGCAGAUGCCUGAAUAAGUGACCCAGCCAGGAUUCGAACCCAGGACUCAGAGCCAGAGGUGGCCCUCUGCAGGCAAAGUUCAUCCAGGACCUGGAAAUGCCGGUGUGAGAGACGGUGAGUGAUCAGCCAGCUGGUAUCCCAGUGGCCGGGUUACAGUGGGCGAAAGGUGCAGCUGGGUCCUAGGAGCUGAGGACGGAAAGGAGACACGAAGCUCAUGACAAGAUCAAGUCGUGUGGCAGGUGGUGUCUUAGCAGGACGCUUUCCCUGCAGCCCGUUUCUACCUCUUUCCACACGGUCCUUGCUUCUUGGAUGCAGAGGGGGCCCGGGAUUCUGGAAGAGCAUCCCGUGAGAAGAAACAGGCUGAACUGCCCGCAGAGGUUUGAUGUGCUCUUGGGGGAAAACAGACACUCUUGUUGAAACUCGAAAGCGGUUGCUGGGCGCUUCAC